rnacentral:rRNA from 1 species
GACGAACGCUGGCGGCGUGCCUAACACAUGCAAGUCGAGCGAGGAGAGUUCCUUCGGGAACAAACCUAGCGGCGGACGGGUGAGUAACACGUGGGCAACCUGCCUUGUAGAGGGAAUAGCCUUCCGAAAGGAAGAUUAAUACCGCAUAACAUUACAGUUUCGCAUGAAACAGUAAUUAAAGGAGCAAUCCGCUACAAGAUAGGCCCGCGGCGCAUUAGCUAGUUGGUGAGGUAACGGCUCACCAAGGCGACGAUGCGUAGCCGACCUGAGAGGGUGAUCGGCCACAUUGGGACUGAGACACGGCCCAGACUCCUACAGGAGGCAGCAGUGGGGAAUAUUGCACAAUGGGGGAAACCCUGAUGCAGCAACGCCGCGUGAGUGAUGAAGGUUUUCGGAUCGUAAAGCUCUGUCUUCGGGGACGAUAAUGACGGUACCCGAGGAGGAAGCACCGGCUAACUCCGUG